UAGAAAAUCAUUACGAUGACUUGUGUAC
rnacentral:sRNA from 1 species